GGCUUCAUAGCUCAGAUGGUAGAGUAUCACACCGAUAACGCGGAGGUCAUGGGUUCAAAUCCCAUUGAAGCCC
rnacentral:tRNA from 1 species